rnacentral:lncRNA from 1 species
AUGAAAGAGGACAAAGUAUGGACCAUAGUGUCUCACGAUUUCCAGAUUAAGACGACAGUGGUGGGCUGCAACCCAAGAAAAUACUCAGCUCGUUUCCAGCACCUCCAAAUGAGCAGUAUGCCGCCGUUUGCAAGAUGUCCAGGCUGCUGAGCAUCCCAGGUGUGGACGUCCUUGCGCCCUGACUUUCUAGAUGCUGGUCUCUUCAAAGGGUUUUCCGUCACAAGCUCCGUGGCAGCACGUCAUAGCCCCGGGAGCGCUCUGACAUCCCGAAGUAGCUCUGGGCAAACUGAAGCCUUGGUAAGUGUGGCAGCAGUGUGGGCCUGAACUUGUCCCACGUGCUUUGGCAACUCUGAAACCUCCUUCAGUGGAAAGAGGGGGAAAGGUGAGUGAAGCCAGCCUCUGACCGUCUGGCCUGCCCCGAAGUCCCAAGAUGGCCAGAGGCUGAGGAAGGACAGUCAGGAGGGGUGCUGCUGGACUCCCGGGCCUUCUGUACCUUGCAGGUGGUCAGCGCAGCACAGGGUCAGGUACCCCAGGAGCAGCGUCUGGGGCGGAGCUCCCCAGGGGCAGCUGGCUCUGGGAGCGCAGUGAUGUCCCC